GGGUGAGUAACACGUGGGCAACCUGCCCAAAAGAGGGGGAUAACACUUGGAAACAGGUGCUAAUACCGCAUAACCAUAGUUACCGCAUGGUAACUAUGUAAAAGGUGGCUAUGCUACCGCUUUUGGAUGGGCCCGCGGCGCAUUAGCUAGUUGGUGGGGUAAAGGCUUACCAAGGCAAUGAUGCGUAGCCGAACUGAGAGGUUGAUCGGCCACAUUGGGACUGAGACACGGCCCAAACUCCUACGGGAGGCAGCAGUAGGGAAUCUUCCACAAUGGGCGAAAGCCUGAUGGAGCAACGCCGCGUGGGUGAAGAAGGUCUUCGGAUCGUAAAACCCUGUUGUUAGAGAAGAAAGUGCGUGAGAGUAACUGUUCACGUUUCGACGGUAUCUAACCAGAAAGCCACGGCUAACUACGUGCCAGCAGCCGCGGUAAUACGUAGGUGGCAAGCGUUAUCCGGAUUUAUUGGGCGUAAAGGGAACGCAGGCGGUCUUUUAAGUCUGAUGUGAAAGCCUUCGGCUUAACCGGAGUAGUGCAUUGGAAACUGGGAGACUUGAGUGCAGGAGAGGAGAGUGGAACUCCAUGUGUAGCGGUGAAAUGCGUAGAUAUAUGGAAGAACACCAGUGGCGAAAGCGGCUCUCUGGUCUGUAACUGACGCUGAGGUUCGAAAGCGUGGGUAGCAAACAGGAUUAGAUACCCUGGUAGUCCACGCCGUAAACGAU
rnacentral:rRNA from 1 species